ensembl:lncRNA ST8SIA6-AS1 ST8SIA6 antisense RNA 1
GAGAAGGGAGGAGUUAUUCAGGCCUCCGCCAGCUUCUAGGCCCUGGGGAUGGUCUUUCACCUCCCUCUUUCUGAUCUCUUUUUCAUGCUCCUCCUUGCUCCAAAGAAAAGCCGGAUGGCAAAAGAGCCCAGAACCUAUUGGAACUGACAAAAUCAAGUCACGGCGCCUACAAAGAUGAGGGGCAGAUUCUGGCUGCCUUUUAAUUUCGUCCUUCACCUGAUAUCUGUGCCAGAGAAUGAUAAAAAUCAUAAUAAAGGAAAUAAUGGAAGAGGAGACUUAUGUUACUGGGGACAUCUAACAUAAUUAUUUUCCUGAUUCAGUGGCAUGGUUCAGUCUUCCAGGAGUUCUGCUACAGAGAAGAGAGUAACCCCCAUCCAUCAUGGCCAAAGCACCCAGUCAGGCUCCGCUCUGGAUCCAGCCCGACAAAUGCAACCCUUGAAUAGGGUUUGUGCAAGCAAACUGGAUGACGACCGAAGAAACCCUGUCGCUUCUGAGAAGACACCCAAUCCAAGAAUGCUGGAGUGCAGUGGCGCAAUCACAGCUCAAUGCAGCCUUGAACUCCUGGACUCAAGCAAUUCUUCUGCCUCAACCUGCCAAGUAGUUGGGACUACACAUGUGCCAUCACACUCAGCUUUUGUCUGUGAUCCAUGUGGAAACCAUUCUUCUGUGUAUAGUGUAAGGGAAACCACCUUUGCUUUGACAUAUGUGUGUAAACGGUAUUGUCUGUCGAACGUUGCCUCGUGAGUCAUAAAAAGAAACAUCCCAGCCUCUUUGUUAAGAGAAGUGCUGUCAAACUAUUUACAUUCUUACGAACAGACACAAGUCUACACAAAAUGACAAGCGCACAUUUCGGUGGCAACAGAUCAGCUGCUUCAGAAAUUUAUCUGGCUUGGGGAAGAGAUAUUAUUAACAAAAGCAAAUAUGGAACCACUCUGAGGAAUUACCAGCAGCUGAUGUAAAUUUUCACCUCAGAAACAGACCAGGUCCAGGGAGAAAAAAACUAGAGAGGUUUUGAUUCUCCUCCCACCGUCUGCCUUUCUUUUCCAAAGAAUAGAGAGCCUGCCCCAACUGGAAAAUCAGGUAGCUUCUCCCACACAGGAAGGGAUCUGCUGCCUGAGGCAGAAAGGGCUGCUUGGGUGCCUCUGUCCCCAGUGCCCCUUCAUUUCUGUCUUCCUACAUCCUCUUGAGAUUACAUGUUGAUUACAUUAUAUUCUAUUGUAUCGUACUACAUAAUACAGCAACACUGAAAGAAUGAAAGGAAA